GUGGUUGUGGUUCAGUGGUAGAAUGCUCACCUAGCACAUGUGAGGCACUGGGUUCAAACCUCAGCACCACA
rnacentral:tRNA from 1 species